CAUAUCAAGUGAGAGCACAUCUUAUAAUGAGAGGAUGAAAUAAUAACCCUUGGAUUAAAAUAAAUGGUUGUGAUUAUGUUUCUUUUAGUGAGUCUUAACUACCCGAUUUUUUCCAACUUCCUUGUGACCAACGCUGUCUCACUCUCUCUCCCCGUUGAAACCUUUUUCUUCCAUAUUCCUCUUUGCAUCAAUCUUCUUUGCAUGCUGAAAAAACAUCACUGAUUCAAUGAUGCUGACGAUUAUCCGACCUCUUUGCAUCAGUCUAUGGUUAAUUUUUUAAAAUUAAAUUGAUUAUAAUCAAUCUAUCAUUCCUCUUCUGAUUUACAUAUUCCAAUUAAAUUGCAAACGAGAUCGGCGACGGCAAAAGACAAAUUGCGACAACAAAGCCUUGGGAAGCUGCUACAACGGUGGAGAUGGAAAGAGAACAAGUGUAGAAUCAUAAAAAGAAGGGGAAAAAAUCAUCUGUAAUUAAAUGUGUAUGGAUCUGUUAAAUCUGACCCAUCUAAUUUAAUUUAAUGGCUAUUAAUGAGUCCUCUCAUCUCUCACAAUAUAUAUAUAUAUCCUAAAUAAAUAAUGAUAUCAUCAUUAUUUAUUCUGUGAGGAACGUUUUCCACAUGUUUCAUGUUACCUACCGCUGGCGCAUUGAAUAUUACUUGGUCAAAUCUAAUUAAUAGCAAAAACGGUUUUUGCUUGGUCAAAUGUGUGUAACGUUAACAUUGAAAACAAUUGAUAUAAAAAGUCUCACAUGUCUGAAGGAUAUAGGCAGGAAAAAAAGCUACGACAAUUCCCAUAUACACAUAUAUUUGAGAGUUGUAAUAUUGUUCACGUGCCCUUGCUAUUUCACGUGCAGUGUUAGUGCUGAAAAGCACUAGUCUUGAGGCCAACUGCAUCAGGUGAUUGACCUGUGGCGGCGAAACGGCGAAAUGCACGCCUCAGCCAACGAUCGAUAAGUUCUUCCUUUCUUCUUUAUUUUACUGAGAAUUAUAUUUAUAAUUGCGGUGAUAUUUCUUGAUUAUUAUCUUUGUUUAUUAAUUAAUUCUAUGUCAAUUUUCCAACAAUUAUUGUAGGAGAAAGUAGGACAUAGAAUUAUUAUAAGGUAAUAAGCAAUAAGAAAUAUUAACAUCAAAUUAAUAGAACUCUAAAUAUAAUAUAAUAGAGAACAACUAAACUUAUCGAUUAUUGGUUGAGGCGUGCAUGAAGCACUGGGCUGAAGAGUAUUUUGCCAUCCCGGAUAAAUAACCCGAUGCGAUAGGUCUCAUAGCUAAUACUCUGCAGGAUACAACAAUCACUUCUUCCUAGCACCGCAUGUGAAUUAGCAAGGUCUCAGGAACCACUUAUUUAGAUUGCUCAAGGGAACUCUAUUCAAGGGAACUCUAAAUGAAAUAAGAUAGAUGUCCAAGCAGCUAGCAACCCAUCUAUGUGCAUAGGUUCUCUGUUCUCUCUGGGCAUACUUCCUCAAAACCACUUAUUGAUAUUAUGUAGACUGUCCCAAACCCACUUAUUAAUAUUAUGUAAACACGUACAAAUUAAUUCCUAUGUAGGUGGUCAAACGAAACCGAAAGUGUGGUAGAAUGAUUCAAAGCUUUCAAUGUUAUGCCAAGUGAAUUGCAACUGCCAUUUUGACUAGGUAAUGUAAUAAAUAAAAAACGUGCAUGACUUGGAGUAUAAAUAGGAAACACAUAGGAUACCACCAAGUCAAGAGAAAAGCUAAUUAAUAAUAAUUAAUAAAAUAAUAAUAGAUAUAAUAAUACUUUAAAAUAAAUUAGUAAAUAAAAUUCCAACGAUCUCCACAAUUUAUUUUAAAGUUUUAUAGUGUGAAAAAUCAAUGCAUAAGCACUAGUGUCUUUUGGACUAUGAACUAGCACAUAGAGCAAAUGAAAUUUGAUCCACUAAAAUAUCAGUGAGAUUAUAACCUCUAUGAACCUCAUUCCGUAUGUAGAUUAAACACACAACUCAAAUAUAUGAGCUAUAGAUUUAUUAAGAGUUUAUAAACCCAACCUUCAACGUUGUAGUUUACACUACACCAUAGGGAUGAAUUCUCAAAAAUAAAAUGGAUAAUGUUUCAUCAAAUUGACAAAUGACUUGUUCUUACCCUUAUGAACAUAAUCUUGCAAAUUUUCACAAUUUAUGUUGGGUUACCAUCACUCUCAAUUUUUGUAUUGGGAAAAUAAAUUAAAUCCACACAAAUAUAAAUUUUUCAAAUCAUUGUAUUAUUUAAUACAAUGGAUAAUCCACAAUAUGUCACCAAUAUUUUAAGGUGAAUCUCAAUGUAUAUAUCUCAUUAGUUUAACAAGUGCCACAAAAAUAUAUUUAGAUCUGCUUAGAUUAUUCCUAAGCGACAACAUCUCUAUUUGCACUUCAAAAAGAUUUCACAAGUUUAAGAAUUCUAUCAAAGAAGAAUUUAAGAAUUCUAUCAAAGAACUCAGACAAAAACUCACUAAAACAUGUUUGAGGAUCAGAUUUCUAGCAAUUAGAAUACACAUAUGAGACGUAAUCAAAUGUACACAACUAUAUGAAUUCACAAAGCUCAAAUACAUAAAUAAGAAUAAAUUAUCCGAUGUUGCUAACAUUUGCAUUAAAUCGCCAGUUAUCCAAUUCAAACCACCAUAUUCCUAGAAUCAUAAAAUUUCUUGAUGGCUGGCAUAAUUUAUCAUGUUAGUAUGAUUCUAAAAUAUUGGCACAAUGUUUUCAGACUCAACCCAACACAUCUAACUCUGAUAUUAUGUAGUUAAGAAUGCAAACAACAGACACAUGAUCUAAUUCAUUCAUAGUUAUUCUGACACGCUAUUAUCAUAAUUUUCCAUAUAAUUCCAAUUCAUUACAUCUUCUCACACUAUAUCCUAGUGCCACGGUUUAAAGUAAGCUCAAGAAUAAAUUAUCAUACAUCAUGAGUGAACAUCACAGUAUAAACACAAAAAAAAAAAAAAAAAUUGUAAAAAAUCCUUCGGUGAGCAUGUGCAUAUAAUAUGUCCUUUCAACAAAAUAUCUAUGAACAUAUUUCACAAAUUAUAAAGUGAACAUAUCAAUGUAUUUUAUAAUAACAUAAUUUUCCUGCUUUUGCAAAUAUCCCUCAAUUUCCAAUUUAUAUAAACACUUCAUCACUAUACUCCUUGAGACGUAGAACAGUUAUAAGUUCAAGAAAACAUUCGGUUUUAAACACAAUGAUCAUAAUAUGUACUUGCAAACAAUGUUCCACAAAUCGCGUGUCAAUUCGGCGAGUUUACCGAGUUUACGUGUUUAGGUGCUAAAAACGUGUUAACUUGGAGGUAAACUUGAUUUCUGGUAAAAUCGGAAAGUUUGACGAGUUUGACCGAGUUAACACUCAGUAAACUCGUGUGAAAUCGGGCAAGUUAACCGUUUUUGCGAGUUUACUCCUGUUUUUUUUUCUUCAAAAAUGGCCCAUUGUUUUGGCCCAUUUUUUUCAAGCCCAAAUGAAAACAUAUUUACUUUCUAGCUUUACAACACGUUUAAGCUUACUGAAGUGAAACAUUUCAUAUCAUUUUCUUAGAGUUUUCAAGAACAGGGGAGCGAAUGAAACAUUAGGUUUCCAAAGAUGAAGAUAUAGAUGAGAAUGGUGUUAUGGAACUUUAGAAGAUUGACCUUUCGAAGAAAUUACCUAGUUUGUUUUUUGGAUAGUUUUAUUCUCAAGUUUAUAAACUUGUGAAACUUCCUUUUUGGGAUGGGUAGACUUUAGAGACUUAUGAAACCUAUGCUUUUGUGUGUUAAUUUUUCUAUUUUGAUACUAAGUUAAGCAUACCACUUUUUUAUGGUGGUUUGGUAUACUUUGCAUUUAUAAGUAAGUCUAUAUUUUUCACUAUUGAUAUUUUUACAGUAUUAUAUUAGCUUAGAUAUGUAUGCAUAUAAUAAAUUGUAUAAAAUUUUAAUUUUAGGUAAACUCGUACGAGUUUUCGAGUCGAGUUUAUCUAGAUAAAACGAGUCGAGGUAAACUCUCAAGUUGCAAAACCUUCCUUGCAAAGAACCAAAAACACAACUGCCGUAAAAGUGAUAGAUAAAUUAUUAUGUAACAAUUAUAAAAUGAAGAAAUACCACUUUUAGAAUUCAACUAAUCACCACAAAAAAGAAAACCUUUUGACUAUACAGGAAUUAUUAGCCCACGGUAAUCUUAAUAUUUUUAGGAAAUUUGUCCAAGUCAAAACAAUAUAGUUAAUAAUUAGCAAAACAAAUCACAGCAACCAAUUUAGUGAACAUUAGAUGUAAGACAUUUCCAUAAACAUUCAAUUCAAGAUCUAAGUUUCAAUCACACACAAAACAAAGUUCAACAAGGCUUGUGAGGUUUAGAUAUUAGGAUAUGUACCUUGCCUCUUGUGGAUGGUUUCAAGAGGAGAAUAGUUUAUAACUUACAAUGGAGUUGAUCAAAUCAUACUCUUGUAGACUGAACCGAUGAAUUCCUCCAUUUUUAGGUAUUUGCCAUCUUCCUCUAAACAAAAGUUCACCCAAUAUUUGGCUCUCUCAAUGCUCACUAGACCAAUUAUGUACGAUGCUUCGACGGAGUUUCUGGAUCUAUCAUACAUGUCGCAUAACAUAGAACCAACGUUAGUGCUACUAAUUUCUCACUCAACAGUAUAAAGAAUUCUGAAAUUAGAAUCAGUAACAAGUAUUCUUUAUAAUAGUAAUACUAUGCCACAAAAUACUCUUAAGAUUGUAGGAGAAAGUAGACAUAAAAUUAUUAUAAGGUAAUAAGCAAUAAGAAAUAUUAGCAUCAAAUUAAUAGAACUCUAAACAUAAUAGAAUAGAGAACAAGUAAACUUAUCGAUUAUUGACUG
rnacentral:lncRNA from 1 species